rnacentral:rRNA from 1 species
CAGCAGCCGCGGUAAUACAGAGGGUGCAAGCGUUAAUCGGAAUUACUGGGCGUAAAGCGCGCGUAGGUGGUUUGUUAAGUUGGAUGUGAAAUCCCCGGGCUCAACCUGGGAACUGCAUCCAAAACUGGCAGGCUAGAGUAGGGCAGAGGGUGGUGGAAUUUCCUGUGUAGCGGUGAAAUGCGUAGAUAUAGGAAGGAACACCAGUGGCGAAGGCGACCACCUGGGCUCAUACUGACACUGAGGUGCGAAAGCGUGGGGAGCAAACAGGAUUAGAUACCCGCGUAGUCCCUGUCUCUUAUAC